AACUGGCGCUCGAGGUUCGGUGAUUAUAAGGUAAAGCAGUUAAAGCGAGAGGGAUAAAGACUAGCUAAACAAACUGAUAACAAGAGUGCACACGCUGAAAUGUCUCGCCUUCUUUACUAAUCAUUGAUAUUAUGUUGAUAGUCCUAAAUAUAAAGCUUUAUUACAACUGUCACAUAAACUUAACAUUAACCAAUUAACUAAACAUUGACCAAUGAACCAUGAAAAUGAGGUCAAGGUCAGAUGAACCAUGCUAGGCAGGCAUGUACAGCUAACAAUUCUUCCAUACAACAAAUAUAGUUGACCUAUUGCUUU